rnacentral:rRNA from 1 species
AUUGAACGCUGGCGGCAUGCCUUACACAUGCAAGUCGAACGGCAGCACGGGAGCAAUCCUGGUGGCGAGUGGCGAACGGGUGAGUAAUACAUCGGAACGUGCCCAAUCGUGGGGGAUAACGCAGCGAAAGCUGUGCUAAUACCGCAUACGAUCUACGGAUGAAAGCAGGGGAUCGCAAGACCUUGCGCGAAUGGAGCGGCCGAUGGCAGAUUAGGUAGUUGGUGAGGUAAAGGCUCACCAAGCCGUCGAUCUGUAGCUGGUCUGAGAGGACGACCAGCCACACUGGGACUGAGACACGGCCCAGACUCCUACGGGAGGCAGCAGUGGGGAAUUUUGGACAAUGGGCGAAAGCCUGAUCCAGCCAUGCCGCGUGCAGGAUGAAGGCCUUCGGGUUGUAAACUGCUUUUGUACGGAACGAAACGGCCUUCUCUAAUAAAGAGGGCUAAUGACGGUACCGUAAGAAUAAGCACCGGCUAACUACGUGCCAGCAGCCGCGGUAAUACGUAGGGUGCAAGCGUUAAUCGGAAUUACUGGGCGUAAAGCGUGCGCAGGCGGUUAUGUAAGACAGUUGUGAAAUCCCCGGGCUCAACCUGGGAACUGCAUCUGUGACUGCAUAGCUAGAGUACGGUAGAGGGGGAUGGAAUUCCGCGUGUAGCAGUGAAAUGCGUAGAUAUGCGGAGGAACACCGAUGGCGAAGGCAAUCCCCUGGACCUGUACUGACGCUCAUGCACGAAAGCGUGGGGAGCAAACAGG